UACGUAGGGGGCUAGCGUUGUCCGGAUUUAUUGGGCGUAAAGAGCGUGUAGGCGGCCAGGUAGGUCCGCUGUGAAAGUCCGAGGCUCAACCUCGGAAUGUCGGCGGAAACCCUCUGGCUAGAGUCCGGAAGAGGAGAGUGGAAUUCCCGGUGUAGCGGUGAAAUGCGCAGAUAUCAGGAGGAACACCGGUGGCGAAGGCGGGUCUCUGGGCCGAUACUGACGCUGAGGAGCGAAAGCGUGGGGAGCGAACAGG
rnacentral:rRNA from 1 species